UUGGCCGUACCAUGCUGAAUAUACCGGUUCUCGUUAGAUCACCGAAGUUAAGCAUCAUUGGGCGCGGUCAGUACUUGGGUGGGUGACCGCCUGGGAACACCGCGUGCCGUU
rnacentral:rRNA from 1 species